UGGACAUGUGCAGAGGAGGGACCCAGGGUAUAUAGGGAGAAGGACGCUGAGGAUGGAUCCACCAGGCAGGAGGAGAAGAGGGAGGCCAACGAGGAGGUUCAUGGAUGUGCUGAGAGAGGACAUGCAGGUGGUCGGUGUGACAGAGGAGGAUGCAGAGGACAAUGUGAGAUGGCGAUGCAUCAUCUGCUGUGGUGAAUCCUCACAGGAGCAGA